rnacentral:tRNA from 1 species
GGGGACCUAGCUCAGUGGUAGAGAGCUUGUCUGCAUGCACAAGGCCCUGGGUUCAAUUCCCAGCACCUCCA